rnacentral:siRNA from 1 species
GUCAUCGGUUGGAUCAUUUGGUA